CUGGGGACAGAGGGGGAGACGGAAAGGAGGGAACGGAAUCUGCCGUUACCUGAGCAACAGGCCCCGCCCGCCGGCUCGGGGCUGGGGGGCGGGAGGAGGACGUCAGCACGUCAGCCGGGGUUUUGCGUUUUGAUUGACAGUUGCUAUAGCGACCGGGUCGGUCCGUCGCCAUUUUGUUGGUUGGUUUUUUUUUAAACCCUUUCGCUUCCCGCCCGAAUAAUAAUAAAAAGCCCCAUUGGAGUGAGGCGGGGGUGGCGGCGGCAACCGCGGC
rnacentral:lncRNA from 10 species